rnacentral:rRNA from 1 species
UACAGAGGGUGCGAGCGUUAAUCGGAAUUACUGGGCGUAAAGCGUGCGCAGGCGGCUUUGCAAGACAGAUGUGAAAUCCCCGGGCUUAACCUGGGAACUGCAUUUGUGACUGCAUGGCUGGAGUGCGGCAGAGGGGGAUGGAAUUCCGCGUGUAGCAGUGAAAUGCGUAGAUAUGCGGAGGAACACCGAUGGCGAAGGCAAUCCCCUGGGCCUGCACUGACGCUCAUGCACGAAAGCGUGGGGAGCAAACAGG